CAGAGUUGCAAAACUCCCUAAACCAUUGUGAACGUUACCUAAACCGUUGCUUCGGCGGGCGGCCCGGGUCCUUCCCGGCGCCCCUCGGCCCUCGCGGGCGCCCGCCGGAGGUAAACCAAACUAUUGCAUUGUAUGGCCUCUCUGAGUCUUCUGUACUGAAUAAGUCAA
rnacentral:misc_RNA from 1 species